CCUACGGGUGGCAGCAGUGGGGAAUAUUGGUCAAUGGACGCAAGUCUGACCCAGCAACGCCGCGUGAAGGAAGAAGGCUUUCUGGUUGUAAACUUCUUUUAAGGGGGAAGAGCAGAAGACGGUACCUCUUGAAUAAGCGACGGCUAACUACGUGCCAGCAGCCGCGGUAAUACGUAGGUGGCAAGCGUUGUCCGGAUUUACUGGGUGUAAAGGGCGUGCAGGCGGGCCGACAAGUCAGAUGUGAAAUCCUCGGGCUUAAACCGCGAACUGCAUUUGAAACUAUUGGUCUUGAGUACCGGAGAGGUCAUCGGAAUUCCUGGUGUAGCGGUGAAAUGCGUAGAUAUAAGGAAGAACACCGGUGGCGAAGGCAGAUGACUGGACGGCAACUGACGGUGAGGCGCGAAAGCGUGGGGAGCAAACAGGAUUAGAUACCCCUGUAGUC
rnacentral:rRNA from 1 species